UUCGUUUAUUAUGCAUGUGCGUGCUUUCUUUGAUUAGGAUAGGACCGACUCCAGUGUUGAAUUUGGGAUUUGCCUUUUCUUGUGGUAUGACCACUUUAACUUUUGAGCUUCGGCUUUUUACUUAAGAUAAAUAUUUGUUCCUAAUCUUUUGGGAAGGCUUAAUGCUUUCCUAAGCUCAACUUGCUAGUUAAUUAUUGGAGUCUGUCCUCCCUUUCUACUGUCAUAAUUUCCCUUUACAUGGCCUAUUUACAUGCCUCUUAAAAGUUGCAGCUUAACCGCUUGGUGGCUAAAGAUUUUAAGGUGGGUCCGUCGCUGUUAUAGUGACAUAUUCCGUCUUACAUUUAUGUUCAUAAAACUUAUGAUUUGAUUACCAACUAUCUAACGGCUAUUUAUUCUUUCUAUUCGAUAGAAUAACUGCGUAUCCGAUGGGGAACAACAUUCUUUCUAUUUUGGGCGACUUUCAGCGUCACUGUUUGCGAUAGAAAGAGCCUUUCGUACAUCACGUUAUGUUGGGCCGGGUUUAUUCGUCGGCACAACGGCGAUAAACUGUAUUGGAACCGCUGCCAAGCGUCACUUUUCGCGACUUGGUUCAAUUCUAGAUUUUUGUGAAUACGUCUGCUUUCUCAAGAUUUGGACCAGUCAUCUCUGAAAUAAAAGUUCCAUUUUGUU